rnacentral:lncRNA from 13 species
GGGGGUGAGAGGGGAAAGGAGGGGUGUUGUCUGUAGCUUGUGAGGUGUGGAAACACUUUGUUGCUUUUAUGAAUUUUGUCUUGCUGCUUUUUGUUCUAUGUUGCUCUGUCUGUAUGCUACGUCUUGCUUGUCCAAUGUUGCUCUGUCUGUAUGUUAUGUCUUAUAGCAGAAAAUAAGAUGUGCAGCAAAGAUGGUUCAGGUUGAUCCCAAAGUUGUGUGUGUGUGUGUGUGUGUGUGUGUGUGUGUGUGUGUGUGUGUGUGUGUGUGUGUGUGUGUGUGUGUGUGUGUGUGUGCGUGUGUGUGUAGCUGCUUGGGGAUGUGAAUGCCUCAGAGCUGAUCCAGAAAGUCCCUGCCUCUCUGCUGUCCAGCCUAUCCCUGACCACCCUGGACAAGGCUAACCUGACCUCCCUCGACCAACUGGAGGGCAAGCAGUGGACACGUGCACAGGUGUGUGUGUGUGUCUUCUGAACGCAACUCUGGGGACUACGGCCACUGGUGUGACAUUACACACUGUUCUCUGUCUUGCAGUCGGCCUUUCUGGUCAGAAAUAUCCUAGGCAAGAAGAUGACACUUACAGACAUGCGGAAGCUGGGCUCGGCAAUGCAGGGCGUGGCCUGUGAGAUGAUUGAAACAGUGGCUGAAAGUGGCGUCAUGGAGAUGGCCCAAGCUGUGACAGAGACUCCACGCUGGCUCUCUAAGACACAGGUGUGCUGUACUGCACAGAGUCUGUUUGCAGGUUUGGAGAAAAAGAGAGCAGGCUACUUCAACAACAUCACAGACACAGAGCUGGAGGAGAUCCCCACCCUGCUGCUGCUUCACCUGCCGUGAUUACACACACACACACACUGGCAGAUGUUGCUGUGUUCCAGGGGUUUCAAUUAAAAUUAUCCCCAGCUGUCCAGGGGGCCACACUGACCUAUUGUUUAUAUGCAAAUGUAUUUUUUUAAGUGUAUCCCCUAUAAAUUUCAGAAUUU